rnacentral:rRNA from 1 species
AUGGCGGCGGCGGCGGUGGCGUUGUCGAACGGCUCCGGUGGCGACUCCAAGGCCGAGUUCGCGGAAAUAUACAGCAGGCUCAAGGAGGAGAUGCUCGAGGACCCCGCCUUCGAGUUCACCGACGAGUCGCUCCAGUGGAUCGACCGCAUGCUGGAUUACAAUGUCCUAGGAGGAAAGUGCAACCGUGGGCUCUCUGUCAUCGAUAGCUACAAGACAUUGAAAGGUGUAGAUGUUUUGAGGAAGGAGGAGACGUUUCUUGCCUGCACCCUUGGUUGGUGUAUUGAAUGGCUUCAAGCAUAUUUUCUUGUGCUUGAUGAUAUCAUGGACAAUUCCCAGACACGACGGGGCCAGCCUUGCUGGUUUAGGGUGCCUCAGGUUGGCCUUAUUGCUGUAAAUGAUGGGAUUAUCCUUCGCAACCAUAUUUCACGGAUCCUUCAACGCCACUUCAGAGGAAAACCGUAUUAUGUUGAUCUCAUUGAUUUGUUCAAUGAGGUUGAAUUUAAGACAGCUUCAGGGCAGUUGUUGGAUCUUAUCACUACUCACGAGGGAGAAAAGGAUCUCACAAAAUAUAACUUGAAUGUUCACCGGCGCAUUGUGCAAUACAAGACAGCGUACUAUUCAUUUUAUCUUCCGGUUGCAUGUGCAUUGCUGCUGUCGGGUGAGAAUUUGGAUAACUUCGGCGAUGUAAAGAACAUUCUUGUUGAAAUGGGAACAUACUUUCAAGUUCAGGAUGAUUAUCUAGAUUGUUUUGGAGAUCCUGAAUCUAUUGGCAAGAUUGGAACUGACAUUGAAGACUACAAGUGUUCCUGGUUAGUUGUGCAAGCUCUUGAGCUUGCAGAUGAGAGCCAAAAGGGCAUUCUACUUGAAAAUUAUGGGAAGUCAGAGCCAGAGUCUGUUGCAAAAGUGAAGGAUCUGUAUAAAGAACUUGAUCUGGAGACGGCAUUUCACAAGUAUGAGCGGGAGAGCUACAAUAAGCUGAUCGCCGACAUCGAGGCCCAGCCAAGCAAAGCUGUUCAGAAAGUUUUGAUGUCUUUCCUGGAGAAGAUCUACAAGAGGCAGAAAUAG